AUUGAACGCUGGCGGCAUGCCUAACACAUGCAAGUCGCACGGAGCGGCGGACGGGUGAGUAAUGCCUAUGAAUCUGCCUGGUAGCAGGGGAUAACGUCCGGAAACGGGCGCUAAUACCGCAUACUAUCAGAUGAGCCGAGGUCGUAUUAGCUAGUUGGUGGGGUAAAGGCCUACCAAGGCGACGAUCCGUAACUGGUCUGAGAGGAUGAUCAGUCACACUGGAACUGAGACAAGGUCCAGACUCCGACGGGAGGCAGCAGUGGGGAAUAGUGGACAAUGGGCGAAAGCCUGAUCCAGCCAUGCCGCGUGUGUGAUGAAGGUCUUCGGAUUGUAAAGUACUUUAAGUUGGGAGGCGUUACAUGCAGAAUAAGCACCGGCUAACUUCGUGCCAGCAGCCGCGGUAAUUC
rnacentral:rRNA from 1 species